CAACCAUUUCCUUCUUUUCGCAUAAUUCAUUUGUCUUCGUCGUCGUCCUUUUCACUUCGUCUUCUUCGAUCUUUCGGAAAAUUUCCAAGUUUUUGCUUUUAUAUUUCAUAGCUUGUGAUUUUAGGUAUUUUUCGAUAACCGUAAUCGUUUGUGUUAAGAUGAGUCUCCGUUUUUUAGUCUACUCCUUUUGUUUAUAGGUGAAGAUCUGAUUCCUCUAUUUUGGUAUGUUUUUCUAUGUUGUCCACGCCGUUGUUUUUGGAGACCCCUUUUGUUUUCCUCGCGGUUUAUAUUCGUUAUGUUGAUUUUACAGUUCUUUGAGGUUUCUUGAUUUCACGGAGUCCAAUAAUAUCCAGAUCGUUUUUUGCCCACUUUAGUUGAGGGGAGUUGGUGUUUUAAAUUAUUUCUUGUCUUUUUUAUUGAAUAAACUUCACUCUUUCCUUAAUCAGUAUGAUGUUCUUCUUGGAUUCUUGUUCAGCUUACUCUGCAUGCACGGUUUUGGGUUUCUUUAAUCUUUCAAGUAUUCACUGAUCUGACGGCCUAUUUUGAUUGUGUAGUCAGUCAGUUUUUGAUACGAUAGAUUUAAGCCUUAAUUCAAGCUCUUGGAUUUAUAGUUUCUGUUUAUGACUGCACUCUAUAUGUUUUAUUUCACUUUCGAUUCUUCAGUCUAGCGUUUUUCUGAUAUUGCAGUUUUAUGUUUUGUGAUUUGUGGGUCCUUGUGACUACCGGCUAAGCUUAUGUUUUUCCCCCAACUUUGAAGUGUGAAUAACGCAAGAAAAUAAAUUUUAGCUGUCUAGGAGGAGCUUUUGGAAGAAAUAUACGUCUACCAACUUUCAAGUCAGGUUAGAAUAUUAAUCUACUUCACAUACGGUAUUGAAGAGCUGCUUUUGUUAUUGAGUUAUAAUAUUGACCUUAGAAAGAAGGGUUCUACCUUUUGGCAAGCUUCAGAAUCAUGCCUGUUUCAGGACACGAAGAGACCGAGGUUAAAACAUAUGCUGGGUAGUUUAGUGGUGUAAUUGCAGGGGUGCCUAUAAAAAAAUGCGGUUUCCUUUGAUUCAUCCCUUUUCGGCUUUGUCUGGAGAUCAAUAUUUGCUCACAGAAGAAACUGAAUCACUACGGAAAGAACAUUUAGGCACUCCUCUAGGAUCUCCUCCAACCCUAUCAAAUAUUGGUAUUGCAGAUGCACCAAUCAAGAAAAGAAGGUUCCCUUCAAUUCAAUCUUCUUCAUCUUUGGAAGAAUCUUCUUCACUACCGGAAGAAAACAAUGCAUCACAUAAGGAACAUUCGAGCACAUUGUUGGGUACAACUCUUCCAAUCAGUUCUGCUGGCAUAUUUGAUCAAAUGAAAACCCUGCAUUUGAAGAAAGGAAAACAAGUUCUAAUCUUACAAAUGCUAGCUCUGUCCAAAGCAAGUCUAGUUACCUUAGCCCUAAACUUGAACAAGCAGGUCUUGCAACUCACUCAAGUACACUGGAUAUUGUGGACAGCAGAGAGAAGUUGAUUACUAGUGGAAGUUAUGAAGAAAAGCUGGGAAAGAAGAAUUCUGAACUCUUGUUGGCUGCUGAACAAAGUCUUGUACUUAAAAUAGGAGCUGAGAUUAGCAAGCAAAAUGUUCAAGAGAAGUGUAAACAAGAGAGUCAUGCAGUUCUAGAGAGUGCUGUUUUAUCUUUAGGAUUUAAAAAGCACUUAUUUCCAGCCGGGACAAGCCUUGAUGUUGAUAAUAGUUUCCAGAAUGAGAAACCAGAGUCUGUUUCGUUAAAAUUGUCUGAGCUAGGAAGAUGGUAGUUCAGGGAGUCAUAGUGGUGAUGCUAAAGCUAAUAGGGCAAAUUGUUAUCUGAAUACAACAAUGGAUGCUUGGGAAGAACCUGGUGAGGAUGCUUCUACUGAUAAGACAUCUAUGCAUGGGCUGCCGAUUUCUGAUAAUGCACUUAUGGAAAAACAUGUUAUGUGUUCAACCGGAAUGGAACUUACUAGCAGUACUCCCCAGUUCAAACUACUGUGGAGAGUCUAAACAAAAGCAUUCAUGAUUUCAUCUAGGAUGUAUGGGCAACAGCUGAAAUAUGUUGACCCUCGUAAUCUCUACUUUGCUUCAUGUCUUCCAAAAUAUACUGGAGAAUCUUCUGGAUUUGUUAAACAAAAUUCUAACUGUGCUAUUCCUACUUUGAACUUGUCAAAUGUGCAAGCUUCUGGUGAUGUGAACAUAGCUAGUAUUAGGCCUGUAAAAUCAGAAUUGUUAGGAUGAGAACGAUAGCAUGCUGAGUCAACAUGGACGUCCACUACUGACUUGUCAGAGAAGAAAGGGGAGGAAGUUAGAAUCAGUUAUGCAGAAUUAAAUUAAUUUUGAUUUAAUUAUUGCACUUUCAGUUUUAGUUAGCUAAAUAAGUGGAUCAACUUUUGAUAUGAGGUUCACCUACGUUUAGUCAGUUUGAGUCAGUUGUGCUGCCAUCCCAGAUAUGUUGGAAUAUUUUCUUAUUAUUUAUUUAUUAUAACUCUCAUCAUAGCUAGACAUUCAGAAAUAAAAUACAGUUUCCCUUGGAGAUUCUCCUACUCUGGCUAUUAGAUACUUUUAGAGUGAGAUUCUUGCUCUAAUUUAUUUAAUAGAUUUAUUUGCUUUUCCUUACCAUUCUGAGUUCCUAGCAGAGAACUGGAAACAUGAUUUAAAGGAGACUAGACCUAUUCCUGUGGGAUCAUUAGAUGGGGUCGCUGUCAAACAUAAUUAGUGGAGCAUCCCAAUGUUGAUUCUUUCAAGUCUUUGGAAGGUAGCAAUAUGAAGCUUGAUAAUCCUAGACUCGUUAAAUCUGAACCAGGUCGUGAGAAUAAUUAGGAAAGACCCAAAACGGCAGAGAGUAUAUCAGAUCAAAUGAGUAAAGAGUUGCUACGGGGAUCAGAUGACUGUUCUUCCUUAGAAAAGCCAAGGACGUUGGAAUCAUUUCCAAUUUCUACAGGUACAGCUCCACCUGUGAAAGUCAUAUGUUCAACAGAGUUGAGUACUAGAAUAGGUAUUGUAACCCAUCUAGAAAAUCAUGCUUCUGUAGAGGGAGCCUUUGUUGAUGAAAAAGCUCAAGGAGAUUGUUCAGGUGACAAGCAGGUCUCUCCAGAAACAGUUUCCAUAGCUAUGGUUGAUGUGCAAAAUCAAGUGGUCUUGGCAAAAUGGAUAUGUAACUAAUGAAGGAAACACAGAUGAUGCAGAGGGAUGUUUGUUGAAACGUAAGAAUGAGGGCCCAUCAGAUCCACAAGGCAUGGUGAAGACGGUGCAAGUGAUGAUGACAUGAUAACUUUAUCGACUGAUAUACUAGAGUAUGAUUCUCAUGGAUGUGAUUGUGAAUUAGAUGCCAUGGAUAUAGAGCAGUAUGAUGACUGGAUGAUGAUUAUAAAGAUCAGGUUCGAGAACCAGUGAAGCACUCUGUAGUAGAAGACUCUGUUUGUGAGGUAAGAGUAGGACUCCCUCUCUUUUCAAAUGUACGAGAAUUUCAACUAACUCACACAGUUUAAGAAAGUUACCUAAUCUUAAUAAUUAUAUCUGAAAUUGAAAUAUUUGGACUAAAAUGUCCUUGUAAUUAAUGUUUACUUUUUUUUUUCUUUAAUUUAGUGGUACUACGUAUUUAUGAAGGACAAUUUGGAAAAAAUGUAAUUAAUACUUCUGGAAAUUUGUAAUUUUGUUUAUAAUAAAAAGCAAUAGAACAUAGGGUGGUUUCUCUUAUAUUUGAAAAAGAGGGAGUAGGUGGUGGUGUUUCUAGCCAUUGUCCCACGUCACCUCGUCUUGAAGAAAAUGACAAUAGAAAUGUUAAUCACAACGAAUAAAUUGUGUCAAUGAUGGUAUUGACAUUGAAUCAAUUGAUAAAUCUGAUAGCAUCACUGACAAAAACUAUGUGUACAAGAGUCAUUGGAAGCUGAAAAGCCAAUUGUUGGCUCGCAAAUCAGGCUGGUAGAUCUUUUUUGGGAGGCAGAACGUCCUUAAUGCCACAGAGACAUUUAUUAUCUGACCAAAACAAUAAUGAAAGGAAUGAAGUAGAUGCCGCUCUGUGCUGAUGAGGUUGUUAUGAACUUGGACAUACAUAGAAAAAUUGACUCAGAAGUGCCAAAGAUGGAAGUAUCUGUAAAUACUGAUGAUGCAAACAAGGAUGCAAGUAAUGGUGGUAAUCAAGGAAGGAUUAUAAAUUUGUCCCGAGCAGCUAGUUCACUAUCCCCUACUAAAUCUUGGUCAGUACAAGGACGGGACUGCCAUCACAAGCUGGAAGAGCUGUGUUGCCUGAGAAAUUCCAUCAUGACAAAUUACAUGGACGAAGAUUUUCAAGAGAAAGGUAUGAAGAUGUUUCACCUAGAAACUCGACUAAAUGUGGUAGAGGGAGGAUUAAUAGGCGGAUGGUCACACAUGGGGAUGAAUGGGUGUCUGACCGUGAAUUUUCUGGGGAAUUUAUAUUGGUGCAAGGCAGUUUUGUGUCUCUAGGCAUAAAUUUGCAUGGGCUGUUCAUGGUGCUGAUUCACAGUGCAAUGAUGUUGCACAUGAUGGUUCUUUUGUUGGGGUACUAAUUGGUUAUGCAGGAGGCCCUUGAAUGAUGAGGGGCUAGUUGGUAUAUUAAUUGAGGAGACAGUGUCCUGGUGGGAGAGAGAACAUGCAAAUGGGGCGUGGAAUUCCUAGAAACUAUGAGCCCAAGUGUUAGUAUAAGCAUGGGGAGAAGUUUAUGAGAGGGUAUCCUUAGGAGCCUUUGGACCCUAUGUGUACACAUCACCAAUCAUUUGAGAGAGUAAGUGGUUGAUAUACUCAGGGAGAUAGGAACUUCAUUCAGAGAAGGGGUCCUCAACGAAUUUGUUCGAAGUCUCCAAUCAGAUCUAGGGUAGAAGAUUACGAAAUGGAUUUGGUGGACAUCUAGAAUUGGCCCAUCGACAGCCAUUAUAUAGGGAUGACAGAAUCAGAUCCCCUGAUCGUCCAGCUUUGCAUGGGAAUUGAGUGGUCAGGAGGCAUGUCUCGACCUUUGAAUGAGAUGAGGGGUAUUGAUUCUGGUUCUGGACGUGGUCGUGGUAGGUCUGUCAUAUCCAACAGGAAUCCAUCUGGUCGAAUUGUGUUUAGAAAAAGAUUUGGCGAUGCUGUAGAUUCCCGAUACAGGGCAGAUAAUGAUGACUGCUUUGAAGGCCCCCUAUGCAUUCUGGUCGGUUACUUAAGCUAAAUGGUGAAGGCAAUGGUGAUGAGGGGAGGUUUGGUGAGAGAUGGGAACCAGUUAGAUCUUCUAGGUCUCCUUAUAAUGGUAGUGUUGGUGACAAUUUUUAUCUUGAUGCAGAGGAUUGGCCUAGAUAGUGUAGAUAUUGUACUGAAGAUUCAGAAUUCCAAGAAAGAAGCAGCUUGAGAGAAAGGGAUUUUGAGAGGCGUUUCUAGAGCAGGCCAGCAAAUGGGCUACCUAGAAGAACAAGAAAUGUAGAUGAGCAGGAAGCAAGUUGCAGGGACUGUGGACAGGUUUGGAGCGAUGACGGCUUUGAUGAUAUUUCAAGAGUGAAGGGGAAAAGAUCUUAAUUGUAUGACUAGAAGUAGAAAAUAUGCUGCAGGAAUAAUCUGUGAUAUUGUACUGAAAAAUUUACAUCUAGAUCAGAUUAACACACACACACACACAGAGAUUUAUAGCAUCAUCUGUGAUGUUUCAAGACUUCUGGAUGCCUCGCUAGUAGUUCUAGUGAGAGGGCAGAGGAGCCUCCUGAUUUUAUGGAAGCACAACCUAACGCCGAGGCAUCCGGGAUAUUAUUCUCGCGAAAGGUGUAUGAGAAACUUAGACAUAUCAUAUGAUGAUUCUUUUUAUA